UGGAUGAAAGCCCCGAGCAAUCGGGGUUGAUCUAUGCCAGGAAAAGUCACGGCUAACUCUGUGCCAGCAGCCGCGGUAAGACAGAGGUGGCGAGCGUUGUUCGGUGUCACUGGGCUUAAAGCGUGUGUAGGCGGCCUGACCAGUCCGUUGUGAAAUCCCCCGGCUUAACCGGGGAACUGCUUCGGAUACUAUCGGGCUUGAGGCAGGUAUGGGUGCGGGGAACUGUUGGUGGAGCGGUGGAAUGCGUAGAUAUCAACAGGAACGCCGGCGGUGAAGACGCUGCACUGGGCCUGUCCUGACGCUGAGACACGAAAGCGUGGGCAUAAAACGGGAUUAGAUACCCCGGUAUUCCACGCCCUAAACGAUGUCAACUAGGCUGGGGAGGUUCUGACGCCGCCCCGGCCGAAGCAAAAGUGUUAAGUUGACCGCCUGGGGAGUACGGUCGCAAGGCUAAAACUCAAAGGAAUUGAC
rnacentral:rRNA from 1 species